rnacentral:rRNA from 1 species
UACGAAGGGGGCUAGCGUUGUUCGGAAUCACUGGGCGUAAAGGGCGCGUAGGCGGCCAGCACAAGUCAGUUGUGAAAUCUCCGGGCUUAACUCGGAAAGGUCAACUGAUACUGUGCGGCUAGAGUGCAGAAGGGGCAACUGGAAUUCUCGGUGUAGCGGUGAAAUGCGUAGAUAUCGAGAGGAACACCUGCGGCGAAGGCGGGUUGCUGGGCUGACACUGACGCUGAUGCGCGAAAGCCAGGGGAGCGAACGGG